rnacentral:lncRNA from 1 species
CCUGACUCCGCGGCUCAGUACAGCCCUGGACACCACAGCAGUGGCAGGUGUGGCGUCUUCAAGUGAAAACUUCCCAGUCGCUGCCCCUUCCGAGGGCCCUGAACGGACUCAGAAGGCGACCCCGGACCGGAGGUGUGCAUGGGGAGAAGCCUGCACCUUCUUCUCUUCCGAGCUGUUCUCAUACACAGCCGUUUCGUACGCCUGCAGGUGUCAGUCUAAGGCGGAAGGGAUCUCGGCCCAGAGGAAGCCUUAGAGCGACUGUAUACCUUACUGUCUGACUCGGGACACUGUUGAGAGGGAAAGGGAGAAACUAAUCAUCACGCCAGGAGAUGUGGACACGGUGACCGUUCUGGGCACUCUGCGAACUGUGAGCUCUAAACUGGAGCAGGUUCGAGUGCUGGGCACGCAUUUGGUUUGUUGAUAACACAAUACUCAGGGACCUGGGGCCCAACAGGCCAAAGAGCUUGGAGAGGGUAAGGCAGGAGCAAUGAGGAUUCAAACUAACCUAAAUGAAUUCAUCUCAAGCUAUCUGUAGGAGGUGCCUCUUUGAGUCUUCUGGCAGACUAACCUCCUUUACAGCUGGAUGGAGCCUUGGGACUAGGUUCUGGACAACUGGAUAUUAACAGAAAUGAUGUGCAAUCUCUAGAUGCCAUUAAAGAAGGAGGCAGCCCUUUCUUUGCCUUUCGUCCUUUCUGCUGGCUGGAAUACAGACAUGCUGGUUGAAGCUGAAGCAGUCAUCUUGCACCAUGAAGUAAAUAUGGGAAAUGGAACUCAACCCAGAAAAGUACAAAACACAAGGAACUCCAAGAGCUAAUCUUGGAUAAGCACAGUUUGCCCACAACUGUGUGAAUCUGAAGUCACCGAAGAGAAGAGGUGAUAGGAUGUCAUGAGUUGAGCAGCUUUUCUUCACUAUGCCCUUCCACCAUGAUGUUUCUGCCUUGAAUCCAGUCAACCAUGGACUGAUACCUCUGAAAC